GAAAUGCGAUAAGUAGUGUGAAUUGCAGAAUUCAGUGAAUCAUCGAGUCUUUGAACGCACAUUGCGCCCCCUGGUAUUCCGGGGGGCAUGCCUGUCCGAGCGUCAUUGCUGCCCUCAAGCACGGCUUGUGUGUUGGGCCCCAUCAAGUCCAUAUAUUUGCUCUUGACCUCGGAUCAGGUAGGGAUACCCGCUGAACUUAA
rnacentral:misc_RNA from 1 species